GACGAACGCUGGCGGCGUGCCUAAUACAUGCAAGUCGAGCGAAGUUUUUCUGGUGCUUGCACUAGAAAAACUUAGCGGCGAACAGGUGAGUAACACGUAAAGAACCUGCCUCAUAGACGGGGACAACUAUUGGAAACGAUAGCUAAUACCGGAUAACAGCAUAAAUCGCAUGAUAUAUGUUUAAAAGUUGGUUUCGGCUAACACUAUGAGAUGGCUUUGCGGUGCAUUAGCUAGUUGGUGGGGUAAAGGCCUACCAAGGCGACGAUGCAUAGCCGACCUGAGAGGGUGAUCGGCCACACUGGGACUGAGACACGGCCCAGACUCCUACGGGAGGCAGCAGUAGGGAAUCUUCCGCAAUGGGCGAAAGCCUGACGGAGCAACGCCGCGUGAGUGAAGAAGGAUUUCGGUUCGUAAAGCUCUGUUGUUAGGGAAGAAUGAUUGUAUAGUAACUAUAUACAGUAGAGACGGUACCUAACCAGAAAGCCACGGCUAACUACGUGCCAGCAGCCGCGGUAAUACGUAGGUGGCAAGCGUUGUCCGGAAUUAUUGGGCGUAAAGCGCGCGCAGGUGGUUUAAUAAGUCUGAUGUGAAAGCCCACGGCUCAACCGUGGAGGGUCAUUGGAAACUGUUAAACUUGAGUGCAGGAGAGAAAAGUGGAAUUCCUAGUGUAGCGGUGAAAUGCGUAGAGAUUAGGAGGAACACCAGUGGCGAAGGCGGCUUUUUGGCCUGUAACUGACACUGAGGCGCGAAAGCGUGGGGAGCAAACAGG
rnacentral:rRNA from 1 species